rnacentral:rRNA from 1 species
CGGGACGGGGUGAGGAAUGCAUCGGAAUCUGCCUUUUUGUGGGGGAUAACGUAGGGAAACUUGCGCUAAUACCGCAUACGACCUACGGGUGAAAGCCGGGGACCUUCGGGCCUGGCGCAGAGAGAUGAGCCGAUGCCGGAUUAGCUAGUUGGCGGGGUAAAGGCCCACCAAGGCGACGAUCCGUAGCUGGUCUGAGAGGAUGAUCAGCCACACUGGGACUGAGACACGGCCCAG